GCCCUGUUUCGGGUUGUUUGGAUGACACCGGAUUCCGCCCAAAACAUGGUUUUGAAAAACCUGGACCCGCCAGAUUUUUCCCAACCGAAGCGUCGGGGUUGUUCGUUCUUGAUGACAGAGAUCUCUCUCCCUUGUCGUUCUUCCUCUCGGAGCUGUAGCCUGGUUUGCUGCUGCAAUCUCAUUUAGUCAUGCUCAUGAUCGUUGACCAUGUUCACUGCACUUCAUUUGCUGUGUUGGAAUCCCAUAAUUUGUGCACCUAUCUGCAAUUCAUUUUGGCAAAUUCAGCUAUUCCAGAAAUCAGUCAUUUCAAGGUUCUGAUUUUUUAUUGGUGUCGUUUGCCUGGCACUAAUUUAACGUUGCUUUAUUUCAUAGGUUCUUCUUAUAAUUAUUAACUGGCUUAUUACUUGUCUUUUAGUGUUUUGACUUUUAUUCUAGAGAAUUGGCAUUAUUGUAUAUAGGAAGCUGCUUUGUGACUUCGUAGUUUCAUAAUUAAGUUGUAGCUACUUGUCAUUUUUUGCUUUUGACUAUUUUAUUUAGUUUGGCUGAAGAAGCUUUUCACAAGCGUUUCUAUCAUAUUAUCACCUAUUGAAAAGAAAUUAAAAUGGUGCUUCUUCAAUUCUUUGUUUACAUUGCUAUGCUAGCCAGUAUGGAGCUUGUCCAGAUCUUAAAGUGUUCUAUCCUUACUCACCAGAGAUGCUCGAGGACAGCUGUUGGAGACCCAGACCUUUUCGUAUUUCUUGAAAAUGAAUUAUUGUAUGUGUUGGGUUAAUGUAUUGGCUCAUUAUUAGUGGGAAAAACAUCCCUCUCUUGCACGUUUUUGUUGAGUUCAUUACUAAUGCAGAUACGGUGAAAGCCUGGGCGUGUUUCUGAGGAGGUUCUUGACUCUAAUUUCUAUCUUCCAAUUGGAAAGGCUAAGGUGUUGAUUUUCUUUUCAACUCAUUGUGCAGAAAACAUGAAAUUAUCAUUGUAAGGAUAAAUCUUUCUAAUGACAGGUAAGUUCUUUGCUUUAUGUAUGAAUCAAUUUCAUGCCCGUGAUUAAAGUUUCUUCAAUACACACAAAUCCUUCACCACUAAGUUUCGUACAUACACAUGUCUAUGCUUAAAGCUGUUUGUUUGUUUGUUUUUUUUUCCAACAUAAACAUGAUCACUUCACGCUUCACAUAAUUUUGGGAUUGACAAAUGCCCAAGUUGGUGGAUGCACCUGCCAUAUAUUGUCAGCGUACGUUUGGUGUUACCGGAGCCCAACUGCAUGGCCUCCAAUAAUAUCUGGGUUUGGUACGAAAAAAUGAGAUUUAGUUAAUCGGGCGUUUCAGGAUGAAGUUACUUGAUCCGACUGAUAUGUUAGCCAACUAUGAUUGUGGAAAUGACGUUAUGACGCAGGUCCCACCGACGUUCUAAUAUUUAGUUAAGAUCCAAAAUAUCCACGUACGGUGAUUUAUAUUAGUAGUGUGUGAUUUAGGAAGACUAUUAGUAGUGUGUGAUUUAUAUUUUAAGUUCCCCAAGCAAAAAUGCAUGUUCAAUCAAAAUAUCUAACUGUGUUGCGUGCGAAAUCCAAGUUGUAUUCAAAUUUCUAUGUUAUCUUGAGCCAGAUUUUUACAUUACUUUCCACAAUCUUUUGCCAUGAUCAGAAUCAGAGUUUGAGUUUGGUCACCGUCUGCUUAGGUCAGAUUUAUAAAAAAGGCUUCACUUAGGGGUGGGAACGGAUUAAAUUAUCUGAGCAUUGAACCCAAAUCCGACCAGUUGAGUUUGCUAAAGAAAACCAGUAACGCGUUUCGGUAUGUGGCCUUGCACCUGACUCCAAACCCAAUAUUAAGAAUCAAAUCUGUAAUCGAAUUAGAAUUCAAAUGAAAAGUCACCAGAUACAAACAUCAGACUUUAAGCCAGUAAAAUGUCAGAUUGAAGGACCUUAAAAUUAUUUAUCUGAAAACUGGUUUUGCUAAAAAGCAAGUUGCCUCUUUCCACACAUUCAAAAUUGGAACAGAAAAAACGAAGACCCAUCAACCAUAAGAAAUAUUAGAAAGUAAUGAGAUCUGUGUAUCUGAGAAGCCAGACCAAUCAAAUGAAAAUCCUGUUUCUUUUUGUACGCCGGUGAAGAAAGAGACAACUGCAUGGGAAAAAGACUUGUAUCUUUCCAUACGACCCUUUUAUUUGGAGCAUUCCCUCAUUACAUGUUAAGAGGUCGUUGUCGUGAAAAGCUGUAACAAAUUACUCUGGUCACCAUAUUGAGCCCUUGAUUUUUUUUCUAGCUGUUACUUUCUUCCCGAGUUCGGUGAUGUGAUGCAUCUAGUGUUUAUU